GGGGAAUCUGUUGUAGGUCAGAUGUGGCACAGGGAAGUGUGUUAUGCUUUUUUUUCUCUAUUUUUUCCAUUCUUUUUCCCCUAUGGAAAAAGAAAACCGUAAACAGUGUUGCAUCUUAGGAAGGUACUGAAAGUUGCUGGAAAUUAGAGCAAGCAUGGGAAAAAGAGAAGGCAUUUCCUUGCAAAUUCUUUCAUUUUAAUGCUUCUCAUCCAGCAAGAGCUCUAUGCCAAAAGUUUGUCAUUUGAAAGUGCAGUGAAGUACUACGUUCUGUGAGUGAAAGAAAGCUGCUUUAGUUUUUCCAUGUCCUCCCCAGAAAGGUGCAGACAGCAUUGCAUCAAAAUUCUGGCUAACUGCCCAAGCAAAGCUGCCCACCAAGGCCUACUUGCAGUUCCAGGAACUGCCCAUCUUUGCUACAGACGCACACUGCUCAGCCUUCAGUGUGUCAGGCUGCUCUUCAGAAUGACUCCCAGUGCAGAAUUGAUGUUCUCAGGACUACAGUCAUACUCUGCUGCUGCAGGUAAAAAUAUACAUCAACAUUAUCAGUGAGAAGAAAACAUUUAGCUUAAUUGUAGAGACUAAUUCAGUUCUCUUCCACUUGAGGUAGCUGAUAUUUCCUUAAAAAUCCUGUUUAUGAUUGUAAGCAAAAGCAUUCAAAAGCUCUGAGUCUGACCAAAUUGUUGUGGUGGGUCAAGCAAUACCAAGGAGCACUUCUCAUGAAUUAAUUCCGUGUCACCAUGCUGUUUAUACAAUAAAGAGCAGUAAGGUUUGCCUGGAGACUAGGAAUGUGUCACCUCUCUUUGAAAAUCAUUUGAAAAUUAACGUGCCUUUAAUUUUACAUUCCCUUGG
rnacentral:lncRNA from 1 species